UACGUAGGGGGCAAGCGUUGUCCGGAUUUAUUGGGCGUAAAGCGCGUGUAGGCGGCCAGAUAGGUCUGCUGUGAAAACUCGAGGCUCAACCUCGAGCUGUCGGCGGAAACCAUCUGGCUAGAGUCCGGAAGAGGAGAGUGGAAUUCCUGGUGUAGCGGUGAAAUGCGCAGAUAUCAGGAAGGAACACCAGUGGCGAAAGCGGCUCCCUGGUCCAGCACCGACGUUCAGGCACGAGAGCGUGGGGAGCAAACAGG
rnacentral:rRNA from 1 species